UUCUUGGCAUCAUAACAUCAAUUUUCUUGCUGGUUUUAAUUUUUUCAGAGCUCUUCUCCUCUUCCUCUUUUCCUCCUCUAGAUCCCUUCAUCCUUUGAAGUAUCCAAGGUGCUUGAAGAAAAAAAAAAUCAGCCGUCGAAGUUGCUUGCAGGCUAGCAUCUCCAAGUCCCUGAUCUACGCCAGUCUUCACGUGGAUUUUCUUGUAGAAGUCAGAUGACUUUAUGUGACUGUGAGUGAUCUGAGAAAUAUCUUCUCCAAGUGUUAGACCAUCAAAAAUCAAGAUCUCAUUGGUUUGAUAAUUGUUUCUAAUCUAUCUUGAUCAUAUCAUUAGAUCUAAUAGUUAAAUCUAGAAUUUCAGCAUUGAUGAGAUCGAUGUG
rnacentral:lncRNA from 1 species